UACGGAGGGGGCGAGCGUUAUUCGGAAUUAUUGGGUGUAAAGGGCGCGUAGGCGGCCCGGUAAGUCAAAGGUGAAAUCCCUCGGCUCAACUGAGGAACUGCCUUUGAAACUGUCGGGCUUGAGGCCGGGAGGGGGUAGCGGAAUUCCCAGUGUAGCGGUGAAAUGCGUAGAUAUUGGGAGGAACACCGGUGGCGAAGGCGGCUACCUGGACCGGUUCUGACGAUCAGGUGCGAAAGCGUGGGGAGCAAACAGG
rnacentral:rRNA from 1 species